CAGCAGCCGCGGUAAUACGUAGGUGGCAAGCGUUAUCCGGAAUUAUUGGGCGUAAAGCGCGCGUAGGCGGUUUCUUAAGUCUGAUGUGAAAGCCCACGGCUCAACCGUGGAGGGUCAUUGGAAACUGGGAAACUUGAGUGCAGAAGAGGAAAGUGGAAUUCCAUGUGUAGCGGUGAAAUGCGCAGAGAUAUGGAGGAACACCAGUGGCGAAGGCGACUUUCUGGUCUGUAACUGACGCUGAUGUGCGAAAGCGUGGGGAUCAAACAGGAUUAGAUACCCCGGUAGUCCCUGUCUCUUAUAC
rnacentral:rRNA from 1 species